UACGUAUGGUGCAAGCGUUAUCCGGAUUUACCGGGUGUAAAGGGAGCGUAGGCGGUAAUGCAAGUCAGAAGUGAAAGCCCGGGGCUCAACUCCGGGACUGCUUUUGAAACUGUGUUACUAGAUUGCAGGAGAGGUAAGUGGAAUUCCUAGUGUAGCGGUGAAAUGCGUAGAUAUUAGGAGGAACACCAGUGGCGAAGGCGGCUUACUGGACUGUAAAUGACGCUGAGGCUCGAAAGCGUGGGGAGCAAACAGG
rnacentral:rRNA from 1 species